AUGAAGGGGAGCUUGCUUCCUGGAUUAGUGGCGAACGGGUGAGUAACACGUGAGCAACCUGCCCCGGACUCUGGGAUAAGCGCUGGAAACGGUGUCUAAUACUGGAUAUGAGCCAUGACCGCAUGGUCUGUGGUUGGAAAGAUUUUUCGGUUCGGGAUGGGCUCGCGGCCUAUCAGCUUGUUGGUGAGGUAAUGGCUCACCAAGGCGUCGACGGGUAGCCGGCCUGAGAGGGUGAUCGGCCACACUGGGACUGAGACACGGCCCAGACUCCUACGGGAGGCAGCAGUGGGGAAUAUUGCACAAUGGGCGGAAGCCUGAUGCAGCAACGCCGCGUGGGGGAUGACGGCCUUCGGGUUGUAAACCUCUUUUAGCAGGGAAGAAGCGUGAGUGACGGUACCUGCAGAAAAAGCGCCGGCUAACUACGUGCCAGCAGCCGCGGUAAUACGUAGGGCGCAAGCGUUAUCCGGAAUUAUUGGGCGUAAAGAGCUCGUAGGCGGUUUGUCGCGUCUGCUGUGAAAUCCCGAGGCGCAACCUCGGGUCUGCAGUGGGUACGGGCAGACUAGAGUGCGGUAGGGGAGAUUGGAAUUCCUGGUGUAGCGGUGGAAUGCGCAGAUAUCAGGAGGAACACCGAUGGCGAAGGCAGAUCUCUGGGCCGUAACUGACGCUGAGGAGCGAAAGGGUGGGGAGCAAACAGGCUUAGAUACCCUGGUAGUCCACCCCGUAAACGUUGGGAACUAGUUGUGGGGUCCUUUCCACGGAUUCCGUGACGCAGCUAACGCAUUAAGUU
rnacentral:rRNA from 1 species